ensembl:lncRNA
GUCAUGCGGCACACUUCGUGAGACAUGAUGACAAAUAUUUGCACUUGCUGUACCAACAUACAUCGCAUUGAUCGCUAGGGUCAGUGAAGCCUGUGUAUGAGUUUGAGGAGGCUGCAUCUUUAAAAGCACCCACAAGAAUGGCACAGAAUCACAGCCCGUGAUGGUACCACGAGGCCUUUCCAAUCUCCACAGACUGAUCACUGUAUCAAACCAUCGAACCUCAGGGGUGGAUACAGGUGCAUAACAGGAGACUGGAAAACCACGGACAGACCUGAGUCCAGCACAGGAAGAGAAAAGACAGAUGCAGAGGAUUGGCAAGAGGUCACGUUUUCUAGGCUUGUAAUGGAAAGCUGGAAGAAACAGAAAAGAAGUCGGAUAUUGGGAAACGUGUGAUGAG